CCACUCGAGGGGCGCUGCAGCAAGAGAGUGAUUCUUGCGAGGCUCGAGCUGGAUACCCCGGAUUCAACGGCGCCCGCUAUUU
rnacentral:ncRNA from 1 species